AUACGUAGGGUGCAAGCGUUAAUCGGAAUUACUGGGCGUAAAGCGUGCGCAGGCGGUUUUGUAAGACCGAGGUGAAAUCCCCGGGCUCAACCUGGGAACUGCCUUUGUGACUGCAAUGCCAGAGUACGGCAGAGGGGGAGGGAAUUCCGCGUGUAGCAGUGAAAAGCGUAGAUAUGCGGAGGAACACCGAUGGCGAAGGCAAUCCCCUGGGCCUGUACUGACGCUCAUGCACGAAAGCGUGGGGAGCAAACAGGAUUAGAUACCCUGGUAGUCCACGCCCUAAACGAUGUCAACUGGUUGUUGGGUCUUCAUUGACUCAGUAACGAAGCUAACGCGUGAAGUUGACCGCCUGGGGAGUACGGCCGCAAGGUUGAAACUCAAAUGAAUUGACGGGG
rnacentral:rRNA from 1 species